rnacentral:rRNA from 1 species
GACGAACGCUGGCGGCGUGCUUAACACAUGCAAGUCGAACGAUGAAGAAAAGAAUUGAAGCUUCGGCAGAAAUUCAUUUCGGAUUAGUGGCAGACGGGUGAGUAACGCGUGAGCAACCUACCUCUUACAAAGGGAUAGCCUCGGGAAACCGGGAUUAAUACCAUAUAACAUUGCGACGAAGCAUUUCGAUGCAAUCAAAGCUACGGCGGUAAGAGAUGGGCUCGCGUCCCAUUAACCAGAUGGUGAGGUAACGGCUCACCAUAGUAACGAUGGGUAACCGGCCUGAGAGGGUGAACGGUCACACUGGAACUGAGACACGGUCCAGACUCCUACGGGAGGCAGCAGUGGGGAAUAUUGCACAAUGGAGUGAACUCUGAUGCAGCGACCCCGCGUGAGUGAUGAAGGAAUUCGUUUCGUAAAACUCUGUUCUAUGGGAAGAAAAGGACUGUACCAUAGGAGAAAGCUCCGGCUAAAUACGUG